rnacentral:sRNA from 1 species
GCUGGGCACAGUGGUGUGUGCCUACAGUCCCAGCUACUUGGGAGGCUGAGGCAGGAGGGUCCCAAGUUAGGGCCAGUCUCAGCAACUUAGGGAGAGCCUGUCUCCA